rnacentral:misc_RNA from 1 species
CACAGUCAUCAAUUAAGCAAGUUGAGAGAAUAAAAAUGUGUUGGGUUUUCUUUUGUGAUGAUGAGGAGACAGAAUUGGGUAGGCAGCAAGCUUCUGGAUCAUGUCCCUACUGUGGAGGAAAAGUUCAAGCCAUGGAUGUUGAAAGAAAAUGGAGUUUCUGCUUUUUACCCAUUUGUUACAAGAUCAAGAGAAAGUAUUUUUGCACUUUAUGUGCCAGGCGAUUGGAAUUAUAUCACUAGAAAACCAUGGAGUUCAAGAAGAGCUAUAGCUGGAGCUUUGCCGAUCCAAGAAAUCAGAAGCUUCUAUGGUGAUAAUUUCAAGACCGUGUGUUUCAUCCUCUUCUUUGAAUUUGUUUUAUGUUGUAAAUAUUUUGUUAAACUUUUAAUCUACCCAUUUCAAGUAACUUCAAUUUCUUGUGUUUUGAAUUUCUGGUUUCUUGUUUAAAUUGAUUGUUGGUUCGAAAUUAUGUAAGUUUUUGGAUCUGCUGGUGGAAGAAACAAGGAUCUGAAAUGGGUUUUGUUUG